rnacentral:rRNA from 1 species
GAAGGCCCAGACAGCCAGGAUGUUGGCUUAGAAGCAGCCAUCAUUUAAAGAAAGCGUAAUAGCUCACUGGUCGAGUCGGCCUGCGCGGAAGAUGUAACGGGGCUAAACCAUGCACCGAAGCUGCGGCAGCGACACUGUGUGUUGUUGGGUAGGGGAGCGUUCUGUAAGCCUGUGAAGGUGUGUCGUGAGGCAUGCUGGAGGUAUCAGAAGUGCGAAUGCUGACAUAAGUAACGAUAAAGCGGGUGAAAAGCCCGCUCGCCGGAAGACCAAGGGUUCCUGUCCAACGUUAAUCGGGGCAGGGUGAGUCGACCCCUAAGGCGAGGCCGAAAGGCGUAGUCGAUGGGAAACGGGUUAAUAUUCCCGUACUUGGUGUUACUGCGAAGGGGGGACGGAGAAGGCUAUGUUGGCCGGGCGACGGUUGUCCCGGUUUAAGCGUGUAGGUGUGUGUUCCAGGUAAAUCCGGUUCACUUUAACACUGAGGCGUGACGACGAGGCACUACGGUGCUGAAGCAACAAAUGCCCUGCUUCCAGGAAAAGCCUCUAAGCAUCAGGUAACAUCAAAUCGUACCCCAAACCGACACAGGUGGUCAGGUAGAGAAUACCAAGGCGCUUGAGAGAACUCGGGUGAAGGAACUAGGCAAAAUGGUGCCGUAACUUCGGGAGAAGGCACGCUGACACGUAGGUGAAGUGAUUUACUCAUGGAGCUGAAGUCAGUCGAAGAUACCAGCUGGCUGCAACUGUUUAUUAAAAACACAGCACUGUGCAAACACGAAAGUGGACGUAUACGGUGUGACGCCUGCCCGGUGCCGGAAGGUUAAUUGAUGGGGUCAGCGCAAGCGAAGCUCCUGAUCGAAGCCCCGGUAAACGGCGGCCGUAACUAUAACGGUCCUAAGGUAGCGAAAUUCCUUGUCGGGUAAGUUCCGACCUGCACGAAUGGCGUAAUGAUGGCCAGGCUGUCUCCACCCGAGACUCAGUGAAAUUGAACUCGCUGUGAAGAUGCAGUGUACCCGCGGCAAGACGGAAAGACCCCGUGAACCUUUACUAUAGCUUGACACUGAACAUUGAGCCUUGAUGUGUAGGAUAGGUGGGAGGCUUUGAAGUGUGGACGCCAGUCUGCAUGGAGCCGACCUUGAAAUACCACCCUUUAAUGUUUGAUGUUCUAACGUGGACCCGUUACCCGGGUUGCGGACAGUGUCUGGUGGGUAGUUUGACUGGGGCGGUCUCCUCCUAAAGAGUAACGGAGGAGCACGAAGGUUGGCUAAUCCUGGUCGGACAUCAGGAGGUUAGUGCAAUGGCAUAAGCCAGCUUGACUGCGAGCGUGACGGCGCGAGCAGGUGCGAAAGCAGGUCAUAGUGAUCCGGUGGUUCUGAAUGGAAGGGCCAUCGCUCAACGGAUAAAAGGUACUCCGGGGAUAACAGGCUGAUACCGCCCAAGAGUUCAUAUCGACGGCGGUGUUUGGCACCUCGAUGUCGGCUCAUCACAUCCUGGGGCUGAAGUAGGUCCCAAGGGUAUGGCUGUUCGCCAUUUAAAGUGGUACGCGAGCUGGGUUUAGAACGUCGUGAGACAGUUCGGUCCCUAUCUGCCGUGGGCGCUGGAGAACUGAGGGGGGCUGCUCCUAGUACGAGAGGACCGGAGUGGACGCAUCACUGGUGUUCGGGUUGUCAUGCCAAUGGCACUGCCCGGUAGCUAAAUGCGGAAGAGAUAAGUGCUGAAAGCAUCUAAGCACGAAACUUGCCCCGA